rnacentral:rRNA from 1 species
CAGCCGCCACGGUAAUACAGAGGGUGCGAGCGUUAAUCGGAUUUACUGGGCGUAAAGCGUGCGUAGGCGGCUUCUUAAGUCGGAUGUGAAAUCCCUGAGCUUAACUUAGGAAUUGCAUUCGAUACUGGGAAGCUAGAGUACGGGAGAGGAUGGUAGAAUUCCAGGUGUAGCGGUGAAAUGCGUAGAGAUCUGGAGGAAUACCGAUGGCGAAGGCAGCCAUCUGGCCUAAUACUGACGCUGAGGUACGAAAGCAUGGGGAGCAAACAGGAUUAGAUACCCCUGUAGUCCCUGUCUCUUAUAC